rnacentral:misc_RNA from 1 species
AAGUCGUAACAAGGUUUCCGUAGGUGAACCUGCGGAAGGAUCAUUAAUGAAAUGAUGUUUUUUGGGGUUUUUAAUCUCAAAAAAUAAUUCACCUUUUGUGCAUUGUUAUUAGAUAUACUUUGGUUAGAGCUUUGAUUUCAUUGAUUGGAAUCAACUUCUUGCUGACUCUAUCCCUUCAGUGGACAGUUGGCUAUGAAGCGGCCUACCAAGGUUUUUUUAUCAAACUCUUGUAUUUUGUCUGACCUAAAAUAUCAAUAAUUAAAUCAUAACUUUCAACAACGGAUCUCUUGGCUCUC